GUUCCGGUGGCCUAGUGGUUAGAGCGUCCGCCUCGGAUGCGGGAGGUCGUGGGUUCGAUCCCCGGUCGAGUCA